UUGGGGAAUUUUGGACAAUGGGGGCAACCCUGAUCCAGCAAUGCCGCGUGCAGGAAGAAGGCCUUCGGGUUGUAAACUGCUUUUGUACGGAACGAAACGGUCUGGGUUAAUACCCUGGGCUAAUGACGGUACCGUAAGAAUAAGCACCGGCUAACUACGUGCCAGCAGCCGCGGUAAUACGUAGGGUGCGAGCGUUAAUCGGAAUUACUGGGCGUAAAGCGUGCGCAGGCGGUUUUGUAAGACAGGCGUGAAAUCCCCGGGCUCAACCUGGGAAUGGCGCUUGUGACUGCAAAGCUGGAGUGCGGCAGAGGGGGAUGGAAUUCCGCGUGUAGCAGUGAAAUGCGUAGAUAUGCGGAGGAACACCGAUGGCGAAGGCAAUCCCCUGGGCCUGCACUGACGCUCAUGCACGAAAGCGUGGGGAGCAAACAGGAUUAGAAACCCCAGUAGUCC
rnacentral:rRNA from 1 species